UGCCUCUCUUUCUGGGUUUUCAAAAUCCUCUCUCUCUUAAAGAAAAACCCUAAGAAAGAUCGUUCUUCAAGUUUCACUUCUAAGGCCUACUUUUGCAGAAACAUGACACCUCGGUUCAGCCAAGCAUUCAGUUGAUCAUCAUUGUUAUAUGUUCUUUCCAUUAUCUUUACCUUGAAAAGUUUGGAGCAGGUGGUUCCCAUAUUUCGUAUGCUGAAUUGUAGUUCAAUUUCGUUGUAGUUGUUCUUUUUCAUUUUUAAUACCUGCUGCUGAGACACUUGCAUGGGAAAAGAACUUGAAAUGCCAUUAAUGAUUUAUGGAGGUUAGAAGGAUGAACCUCAAAAUCCUAUUGUAAGGAACAGAAAUCUUUUUUGUGUUUUGCUUGAACUUUGACAUUGAACCAAAAUACAGAACUUGUAUUUGUGUGCAUGUACAACUCUUGCCUCGUACACAUUUCCCUUCACAUUUUUUUUUUUAAAAACAAAUGACUUGAUAAUAUACCCCUCUACGGCAACUAGUCUUUUAUUACUUUGUUUGUAAGGCUUUCACUCUUAUAGGCAAUUUUUCUGGAUGCGUUGGGAAAAAGUGGAGAAAGAUUGAUGUUUUGAAUAGCUUAAUACAGAUAAAACGAAGUAGGCAUCUGAGGUAAUAAUUUUUUUUUGUUUCUUCUACACUGAUAAUAUGAUCUGCUUGGUCUAGUCACUUUGUAGUUGUCUCCCAUCUCUUUUUCAUGGUGGGUAUUCUUGUUAAGAUACACGGUUGUUAUUAGUGUUUUCUUUUCGUUGCCACCAUCAUAAUACCUAGUGAAGCUAGUUUCUUUAUCACAUUUAGCUGCAUAGUUUCAUGUUGCUCUCCCUCCAUUUGUCUUAUUGUCUCUGCUUCGAGAGGGAAGAGUAGGUGCAUGGAUUAUUGAGAGGGGUUAAUAUAGGAGGAAUGAUUUGCUGAAUUGAAGAAUCAAGUUUUUCUAUUGUUAUUGGAGAUUUUUAUUUACUGGUAUACAGCUCACUUAUAAAAUCCCUCUCUAAAUUUUUUAA